CACUCCUACGGGAGGCAGCAGUGGGGAAUAUUGCACAAUGGGCGCAAGCCUGAUGCAGCCAUGCCGCGUGUAUGAAGAAGGCCUUCGGGUUGUAAAGUACUUUCAGCGGGGAGGAAGGCGAUAAGGUUAAUAACCUUGUUGAUUGACGUUACCCGCAGAAGAAGCACCGGCUAACUCCGUGCCAGCAGCCGCGGUAAUACGGAGGGUGCAAGCGUUAAUCGGAAUUACUGGGCGUAAAGCGCACGCAGGCGGUCUGUCAAGUCGGAUGUGAAAUCCCCGGGCUCAACCUGGGAACUGCAUUCGAAACUGGCAGGCUAGAGUCUUGUAGAGGGGGGUAGAAUUCCAGGUGUAGCGGUGAAAUGCGUAGAGAUCUGGAGGAAUACCGGUGGCGAAGGCGGCCCCCUGGACAAAGACUGACGCUCAGGUGCGAAAGCGUGGGGAGCAAACAGGAUUAGAAACCCCGGUAGUCCCCA
rnacentral:rRNA from 1 species